rnacentral:tRNA from 1 species
GGGCUCUUAGCUCAUCUGGGAGAGCGCCUGCCUUGCAAGCAGGAGGUGAUCGGUUCAAGUCCGAUAGGGUCCACCA